rnacentral:lncRNA from 1 species
GCUAUUUAGGCAGACAAGCUUCAGCUGUAAGUGAAGGGGUUGGGACUUUGUUACUGGGGUCUGCCACUUCCAAAGGGGCCAAAGAUUUAGAGCAGGAAAAGGAGUUAAAGAUUAUAUUUUCUUCAUUUUCUAGAUAAAGAAAUUUAAGCCUCGAGGUUUUCAAUGAAUUUCUAACUAUUACACAGUGAAUGGGAAGGUUGGAAUUCAAACCCAGGUCCUCCGAUUCCAAAUCCGCAACUCUUCCCAUUGAUUCACAGAGAAAUUUAGGAAUGGCUUUCUAAAGUGAUGUGUAUCCAUGACGGGCCAAUGACAUUACAUAUUCCAGUGAACCUAUUCUGUGAUACCCUGGCAAUCCAAGCAGAAUUACAGCUCAACCAAAACCAACUGGAAGAAUCCAGAAGAGCCAGAGGGGGAAAAUUCAAACAGAGGAGGAAUUCACACUUCUCGGUUACCUUUCAGCAUCCUCAGCAUCCUCUACAUUUUGGAAUUCCUGGUUACCUUCAAGAUUCAGCUCAAGAGCCACUUUCUACAAAAGGUAAUCCUGGAAUUGUCCGUCUAACUCUCAAACUGCUGGUGCCAGCCCUUUGAAUGCCACCAUUUAUUUGCUUUGUAUGUGGCUUUAGGGAUUGUUUCCCAGCAUGUAAGUUCCUUGAGGUAAGGGGCUUUUCCACUUUUGUCUUUUAUGCUCAAGUGCCUGUAUACUGCCUGGCACAAAGUAGGUCUGCAAUAAAUGCUUAUUAAUGAAUUGGUUAAUUAAAACA